GAUCUAGAUCUCUUGUAUAAUAUCUAGAAUAAUAUAGAUCUACAACACCUAGGCCUAGACUAAAGUUAAAGACUAAGUCAAUAUAGUCAAGUCAAGGUAGUGGAACGUAAACUCGAAGGUUUAAUACAAUAUGUUAUUAACAAGUAGAACCAUGGCAACCAGUUCUGAUGAUGUACCAGAAUGGCUCAAGGAUCAUACUUAUACUAUUUCUACUCUCAAUAUUUAAUGUAAGUACUAC